GAUGAACGCUGGCGGCGUGCCUAAUACAUGCAAGUCGAGCGAACAGACGAGGAGCUUGCUCCUCUGACGUUAGCGGCGGACGGGUGAGUAACACGUGGAUAACCUACCUAUAAGACUGGGAUAACUUCGGGAAACCGGAGCUAAUACCGGAUAAUAUAUUGAACCGCAUGGUUCAAUAGUGAAAGACGGUUUUGCUGUCACUUAUAGAUGGAUCCGCGCCGCAUUAGCUAGUUGGUAAGGUAACGGCUUACCAAGGCAACGAUGCGUAGCCGACCUGAGAGGGUGAUCGGCCACACUGGAACUGAGACACGGUCCAAACUCCUACGGGAGGCAGCAGUAGGAAAUCUUCCGCAAUGGGCGAAAGCCUGACGGAGCAACGCCGCGUGAGUGAUGAAGGUCUUCGGAUCGUAAAACUCUGUUAUUAGGGAAGAACAAAUGUGUAAGUAACUAUGCACGUCUUGACGGUACCUAAUCAGAAAGCCACGGCUAACUACGU
rnacentral:rRNA from 1 species